rnacentral:rRNA from 1 species
GACGAACGCUGGCGGCGUGCUUAACACAUGCAAGUCGAACGGAAAGGCCCUGCUUUUGUGGGGUGCUCGAGUGGCGAACGGGUGAGUAACACGUGAGUAACCUGCCCUUGACUUUGGGAUAACUUCAGGAAACUGGGGCUAAUACCGGAUAGGAGCUCCUGCUGCAUGGUGGGGGUUGGAAAGUUUCGGCGGUUGGGGAUGAAUGCGGGGCUUUUCGGCUUGUUGGUGGGGUAGGGGCUGACCAAGCCUUUGACGGGUAGCCGGCCUGAGAGGGUGACCGGCCACAUUGGGACUGAGAUACGGCCCAGUCUCCUACGGGAGGCAGCAGUGGGGAAUAUUGCACAAUGGGCGGAAGCCUGAUGCAGCAACGCCGCGUUCGGGAUGACGGCCUUCGGGUUGUAAACCGCUUUCGCCUGUGACGAAGCGUGAGUGACGGUAAUGGGUAAAGAAGCACCGGCUAACUACGUG